GUCUGGAAGAAGAAAACGUGUUUUCGGUCUCGCGAAUCGUUUUAUAUAUGUAAAAAUAGUCAAAUAAGUGCCAUGAGAGAAACUAAGGCACCGGCGGCUACUAAGCCGGCUAAAGCUUUGUUGGCUUUGAACCUGAAAGAGGAGCCUGAAUUCAAGACGAAAGUCCAGGAGAUGAAGAAGCGACCCAACAAGGGACAACUUUGCACAGGUGUGAAGAAUGGCACCGCCUGACAAUUACCUCAGAUGUAACAGUUGUCUGGGACAGGUGGAGUUCGACUGCUUGUCACCAAGAUCGUUGCUGAGACCAUGAACAACUACCUGAUGGGCGAGAGACUGAUCAAAUAUAAUCUGGUUCCUACUGAGGUGCAUGAGGAGCUGUUUGUGGGAUCACAGAGAGCGUUUAAGAAGCCCAGGCAGCCUGCUGUGGCUCACUACAACGAGACACACACCAGAGGAGGUCAAUGAGAUGACCGGACGACUCCUACAUAAAGAGGUCAAGCUCCGUUAAAGGCUGGCAGAAAAGGGAAUCAACUAUGACUUCCCAGGGUUUGCUUCUCAAGUGCAACAGAAGAAGAAGUUAGAUGACACUGAAUGCAUCCACGUGUAAUGAGACGUGACUCCAGUGUGAACCCCCUCAGUUCUGGACAGGAGGAGGUCCAUGAAGAUCAACGAUGAUGAUGGGGAAAUCAUCAAGAAUACCCCCGCCCCAAAAAAGUCUAAAGGCAAAUGUGAAGGGAAAGGGGGAUACCUAGUCAGACUGUACAACUGAAUGCAUUCAACUGAAAUGUGUCUUCCGCAUUUAACCCAACCCCUCUGAAUCAGAGAGGU